ACCCAACUACAAUCCCAUGGAGAACCCCAC
rnacentral:piRNA from 1 species